rnacentral:rRNA from 1 species
UUACCAUGCAAGUCGAACGAUGAAGCCCUUCGGGGUGGAUUAGUGGCGAACGGGUGAGUAACACGUGGGCAAUCUGCCCUUCACUCUGGGACAAGCCCUGGAAACGGGGUCUAAUACCGGAUAAUACUUCUUCCCUCCUGGGAGGAGGUUGAAAGCUCCGGCGGUGAAGGAUGAGCCCGCGGCCUAUCAGCUAGUUGGUGGGGUAAUGGCCUACCAAGGCGACGACGGGUAGCCGGCCUGAGAGGGCGACCGGCCACACUGGGACUGAGACACGGCCCAGACUCCUACGGGAGGCAGCAGUGGGGAAUAUUGCACAAUGGGCGAAAGCCUGAUGCAGCGACGCCGCGUGAGGGAUGACGGCCUUCGGGUUGUAAACCUCUUUCAGCAGGGAAGAAGCGAAAGUGACGGUACCUGCAGAAGAAGCGCCGGCUAACUACGUGCCAGCAGCCGCGGUAAUACGUAGGGCGCAAGCGUUGUCCGGAAUUAUUGGGCGUAAAGAGCUCGUAGGCGGCUUGUCACGUCGGUUGUGAAAGCCCGGGGCUUAACCCCGGGUCUGCAGUCGAUACGGGCAGGCUAGAGUGUGGUAGGGGAGAUCGGAAUUCCUGGUGUAGCGGUGAAAAUGCGCAA